UCAAUAGAAAGAACGGAAGAUUUACCCGAGUCUGCCAGAGCUAGUAGCCUACCUUUGUUCGGCAGAUGCAAUAAUGACGGAAGUUCAGUGUGAUGCAGGCGAAUAUCGUGAAGGUUCAUCUAAUCGUUGUGAACCGUGCCAAAAUUGUAGCCUUUCAGCUUUUAAUGCUGGGAAUCAAUUUAAAGAUGCGUGUUAUUCAUCUGAAUCGUGCCCACGAUGGUGUGGUGUCUAUAGUGU